AGAGUUUGAUCCUGGCUCAGGAUGAACGCUGGCGGCGUGCCUAAUACAUGCAAGUAGAACGCUGAAGCUUGGUGCUUGCACCGAGCGGAUGAGUUGCGAACGGGUGAGUAACGCGUAGGUAACCUGCCUGGUAGCGGGGGAUAACUAUUGGAAACGAUAGCUAAUACCGCAUAACAGUAGAUAUCGCAUGAUAGCUGCUUGAAAGGUGCAAUUGCACCACUACCAGAUGGACCUGCGUUGUAUUAGCUAGUUGGUGAGGUAACGGCUCACCAAGGCGACGAUACAUAGCCGACCUGAGAGGGUGAUCGGCCACACUGGGACUGAGACACGGCCCAGACUCCUACGGGAGGCAGCAGUAGGGAAUCUUCGGCAAUGGGGGCAACCCUGACCGAGCAACGCCGCGUGAGUGAAGAAGGUUUUCGGAUCGUAAAGCUCUGUUGUUAGAGAAGAACAAGGACGUUAGUAACUGAACGUCCCCUGACGGUAUCUAACCAGAAAGCCACGGCUAACUACGUGCCAGCAGCCGCGGUAAUACGUAGGUGGCAAGCGUUAUCCGGAAUUAUUGGGCGUAAAGCGCGCGUAGGCGGUUUUUUAAGUCUGAUGUGAAAGCCCACGGCUCAACCGUGGAGGGUCAUUGGAAACUGGAAAACUUGAGUGCAGAAGAGGAAAGUGGAAUUCCAUGUGUAGCGGUGAAAUGCGCAGAGAUAUGGAGGAACACCAGUGGCGAAGGCGACUUUCUGGUCUGUAACUGACGCUGAUGUGCGAAAGCGUGGGGAUCAAACAGGAUUAGAUACCCUGGUAGUCCACGCCGUAAACGAUGAGUGCUAAGUGUUAGGGGGUUUCCGCCCCUUAGUGCUGCAGCUAACGCAUUAAGCACUCCGCCUGGGGAGUACGACCGCAAGGUUGAAACUCAAAGGAAUUGACGGGGGCCCGCACAAGCGGUGGAGCAUGUGGUUUAAUUCGAAGCAACGCGAAGAACCUUACCAGGUCUUGACAUCCCGAUGCUAUUUCUAGAGAUAGAAAGUUACUUCGGUACAUCGGUGACAGGUGGUGCAUGGUUGUCGUCAGCUCGUGUCGUGAGAUGUUGGGUUAAGUCCCGCAACGAGCGCAACCCUUAUUGUUAGUUGCCAUCAUUUAGUUGGGCACUCUAGCGAGACUGCCGGUGACAAACCGGAGGAAGGUGGGGAUGACGUCAAAUCAUCAUGCCCCUUAUGAUUUGGGCUACACACGUGCUACAAUGGACAAUACAAAGGGCAGCGAAACCGCGAGGUCAAGCAAAUCCCAUAAAGUUGUUCUCAGUUCGGAUUGUAGUCUGCAACUCGACUACAUGAAGCUGGAAUCGCUAGUAAUCGUAGAUCAGCAUGCUACGGUGAAUACGUUCCCGGGUCUUGUACACACCGCCCGUCACACCACGAGAGUUUGUAACACCCGAAGCCGGUGGAGUAACCAUUUGGAGCUAGCCGUCGAAGGUGGGACAAAUGAUUGGGGUGAAGUCGUAACAAGGUAGCCGUAUCGGAAGGUGCGGCUG
rnacentral:rRNA from 1 species